AGCUCUGAUGCCGUGGCUUUGAAAAAAAUAUUACUGGUGGAUAUUAACAAUUUUGAGUAUUUCACAAACAACUCUGAAUGUACAUUUUGAAUUAAAGUUCUGUCCGAGAUGUGUCAGAGCAUCAUCUUCAUAGUUUUCCAAAAUUUUCUAGAGGGCUUAGUUUGGACGGUGUAGCAUUGACCGUGUGUCUUGGCUUACUAAUCAUUCAGUCACCUGUGGAGGCAGAGAAUGAGAAAUCACUGCCAUU